ACAGCAGUCGCCGCGGUAAUACAGAGGGUGCGAGCGUUAAUCGGAUUUACUGGGCGUAAAGCGUGCGUAGGCGGCUUUUUAAGUCGGAUGUGAAAUCCCUGAGCUUAACUUAGGAAUUGCAUUCGAUACUGGGAAGCUAGAGUAUGGGAGAGGAUGGUAGAAUUCCAGGUGUAGCGGUGAAAUGCGUAGAGAUCUGGAGGAAUACCGAUGGCGAAGGCAGCCAUCUGGCCUAAUACUGACGCUGAGGUACGAAAGCAUGGGGAGCAAACAGGAUUAGAGACCCCUGUAGUCCCUGUCUCUUAUAA
rnacentral:rRNA from 1 species